UACGAGUGCUUCGAGCGUUAUCCGGAAUCAUUGGGCGUAAAGGGUGUGUAGGCGGCUAUGUUAGUCUUGUGUAAAAUUUCCCGGCUCAACCGGGAGCUCGCACGGGAAACGGCAUGGCUUGAGGAUGGUAGGGGUCUCUGGAACUCAUGGUGUAGCGGUGAAAUGCGUUGAUAUCAUGGGGAACACCGAAAGCGAAGGCAAGAGACUGGACCACUCCUGACGCUGAAACACGAAAGCGUGGGUCGCGAAUGGG
rnacentral:rRNA from 1 species